rnacentral:lncRNA from 1 species
CUCCCAGCACCCCUCACCCAACACACAUAUACCCAGCUCCUCUUUCUCUCUCCUGGACUUUCUCUUGUCCCUCCAAGCUCCUCCUCUACUUUCCAUCCAGCACUUCCAGUGGGGACCCAGGGAGAGAAGGCUGACUAACUGGUUUGGCCAGCUAUCAGCAGGCAGAGAGGAAAUCUGGCUAAGGAUGCUGCUUGUGAGGGGGAAAAAAAGACAGAAUUAACAAACCAGAGUGAUUCAGCAAGUUACAUCAUUGUCGCAGGACACACCAGAUUGCAACAACGAAACAGUAUGGUCCUAUAAAAACUGGUGCUCUUUUUGUCCAGAAAUUGUGUUGGCUUGCUGUGUCCUGUUGCUAACUAAGAAUAAAGAGUGGCCCACACAUUGCAUCUUCCCGUGGUGAUGGGAGGAGAUGAGGAAGGUGCUUGUGGGUGGCAGCACUGUGCAUCUUUCUCCCUCCAGGG